rnacentral:rRNA from 1 species
GACGAACGCUGGCGGCGUGCUUAACACAUGCAAGUCGAACGGGUCUGCCCUGUUUUUUGCGGGGUGGGUCAGUGGCGAACGGGUGAGUAACACGUGAGUAACCUGCCCCUCACUUCUGGAUAACCGCUUGAAAGGGUGGCUAAUACGGGGUGUUCUGGCUGUGCCGCAUGGUGUGGCUGGGAAAGAUUCACUUUUGUGGUGUUUUGGUGGGGGAUGGGCUCGCGGCCUAUCAGCUUGUUGGUGGGGUGAUGGCCUGCCAAGGCUUUGACGGGUAGCCGGCCUGAGAGGGUGGGCGGUCACACUGGGACUGAGAUACGGCCCAGACUCCUGCGGGAGGCAGCAGGGGGGGGUAUUGCACAAUGGGCGGAAGCCUGAUGCAGCGACGUCGCGUGAGGGAUGGAGGCCUGCGGGUUGUGAACCUCUUUCGCCGGUGAAGAAGGUCCUGCUCUUUGUGGUGGGGUUGACGGUAGCCGGGUUAUGAAGCGCCGGCUAACUACGUG